rnacentral:lncRNA from 1 species
GGAACUCGUAUUCAUUAAUCCAAUUGAGAUUUUCGGGUUCCGUCAGUUCGAGAAGUUCUUAGAGAUGAUGAUUUGAUAAUUGUAAAAGUUUGGUUCAAAAAUAACAACGUUCAAUUUUGACAAAAAAACCGUGUGCUAUAGCAAGGUGUUUUGGGCCGAAAUCAAGCGGAACUCGUAUUCGCUAAUCCAAUUGAGAUUUUCGGGUUCCGUCAGUUGGAGAAGUUCUUAAAGAUAAUGAUUUGAUAAUAGUAAAAGUUUGGUUCAAAAAUAACAACAUUUAAUUUUUACAAAAAAACCGUAGUGGUAUAGCAAGGUUUUUGGGCCGAAAUCAAACGGAACUCGUAUUCAUUAAUCCAAUUAAGAUUUUCGGGUUCCGUCAGUUCGAGUAGUUAUUAGAGAUAAUGAUUUGAUCAUAGUAAAAGUUUGGUUCAAAAAUAACAACGUUCAAUUUUGACAAAAAAAUGGUGUGCUAUAACAAGGGAUUUUGGGCCGAAAUCAAGCGGAACUCGUAUUCGCUAAUCCAAUUGAGAUUUUCGGGUUCCGUCAGUUCGAGUAGUUAUUUGAGAUAAUGAUUUGAUAAUAGUAAAAGUUUGGUUCAAAAAUAACAACGUUCAAUUUUGACAAAAAAACCGUGUGAUAGCAAGGUGUUUUGGGCCGAAAUCAAGCGGAACUCGUAUUCGCUAAUCCAAUUGAGAUUUUCGGGUUCUGUCAGUUCGAAAAGUUCUUAGAGUUAAUGAUUUGAUAAUAGUAAAAGUUUGGUUCAAAAAUAACAACGUUCAAUUUUGAUAAAAAAAAAUGGUGUGCUAUAGUAAGGGGUUUUGGACCGAAAUCAAGCGGAACUCGUAUUCAUUAAUCCAAUUGAGAUUUUCGGGUUCCGUCAGUUCAAGAAGUUCUUAGAGAUAAUGAUUUGACAAUAGUAAAAGUUUGGUUCAAAAAUAACAACAUUCAAUUUUAACAAAAAAACUGUGUGCU